rnacentral:rRNA from 1 species
UACGUAGGAGGCAAGCGUUGUCCGGAAUUACUGGGUGUAAAGCGCGUGUAGGUGGUGGGCCAAGUCUGUGGUGAAAUCGCCCGGCUCAACUGGGCGAGGUCCGUGGAAACUGGUCGACUGGAGGACGGUAGAGGCGAGUGGAAUUCCCGGUGUAGUGGUGAAAUGCGUAGAUAUUCGGAAGAACACCAGUGGCGAAGGCGACUGACUGGACAAGUAUUGACGCUGAGGUGCGAAAGCGUGGGGAGCAAACAGGG